rnacentral:rRNA from 1 species
AACGACUCUCGGCAACGGAUAUCUCGGCUCUCGCAUCGAUGAAGAACGUAGCGAAAUGCGAUACUUGGUGUGAAUUGCAGAAUCCCGUGAACCAUCGAGUCUUUGAACGCAAGUUGCGCCCGAAGCCUUCCGGCCGAGGGGACGUCUGCCUGGGCGUCACGC